GUGCUUGCUUCCGCAGCACAUAUACUAAAAUUGGAACAAUACAGAGAAGAUUAACAUGGCUCCUACUUUUAAAAUAAUUUUAUUGAAAUAUAAAUUAUGUAC
ensembl:snRNA U6 U6 spliceosomal RNA